rnacentral:rRNA from 1 species
AGUGAACGCUGGCGGUAGGCCUAACACAUGCAAGUCGAACGGCAGCACAGUAAGAGCUUGCUCUUACGGGUGGCGAGUGGCGGACGGGUGAGGAAUACAUCGGAAUCUACUUUUUCGUGGGGGAUAACGUAGGGAAACUUACGCUAAUACCGCAUACGACCUACGGGUGAAAGCAGGGGAUCUUCGGACCUUGCGCGAUUGAAUGAGCCGAUGUCGGAUUAGCUAGUUGGCGGGGUAAAGGCCCACCAAGGCGACGAUCCGUAGCUGGUCUGAGAGGAUGAUCGGCCACACUGGAACUGAGACACGGUCCAGACUCCUACGGGAGGCAGCAGUGGGGAAUAUUGGACAAUGGGCGCAAGCCUGAUCCAGCCAUACCGCGUGGGUGAAGAAGGCCUUCGGGUUGUAAAGCCCUUUUGUUGGGAAAGAAAAGCAGCAGGUUAAUACCCCGCUGCUCUGACGGUACCCAAAGAAUAAGCACCGGCUAACUUCGUG